CGGGCCCCGUGGGGGUGGGUGCAGAGGGCUGCUCCCGCCCGGUGCCCUGGGGGCUCGGCGGUGCCCGCGAGAGGUGACCGCAGCCGACCGCGGCGGAGCGGGGCGGGGGUCUCUGGCCUCCCUCGAGGUGGGCUGUGGCAGCUCGCAGAGGAGCCGCCGCGGCACUCGAGGUCAGCCAGGCGGGCGGCGCCGAGCCCUUGGACUGGGUCCCCCCACUCACGCUGAAACUAUCCUGUGAUGAAACUAUCCUCCUUCAGAAAAUGGAAACUAUUGACUAAGGUGGAAAGCUCAGAGAUUUCAGUGGCUGGACCACAUUGGAUCAGAGACUACUGCAGCUGCAGCUGCUUACCAACAACAGAUCGUGUUUGAGAGACGAGUUGACCAAAAAAAUUCCAUCUUCCCACUAUUGCCUCACAAGGGUCAACAAUUAAGGAGAAACACUGCGUGUUGCCCCUGCUCCUAGUGGAUGAUUUCUUUGUCUUUCUUGAUGAAUAGGGCUUCAGCUGAAGAACAGUAGUGAUUGAAAAAGAGGACAUAAACUGGUUGCAUUAAAAGCACUGUUGGCUGUACAGUGUCUCUAGUUGAAGCAUGGAGCCAUGAAAUAACAAACCUAUGUUGGUUUGUAGCAUGUGUAUCUGGAUGACUGCUCUGUUUUGGCUACUUCCACUCCCAAAUGUUUUGGAUUGGAUCUUCAUGUGCAGUGAAGAGAGAAUAUAUAUCAUGGACUCAGAUAUCUUCCCUCCUUGUCUUUAAACAUUUUGCUUUAACCUCUUGUUUUUAAGAUUGGAAAUUCUCAUUAGAGACCAAUUUGCUGCCAAGAUGUCUAUGGGAAACGUUUUAAAUAUUGUAAUUUGAUUAGCUUGACUGUUUAGUCCAAAGAUAUUAUGAUCUUCUACAAUGAUAGUUUGCGAUAUGGUGCCAGAAAAGAAAAAGCUUUUUAGUUUUGAGCUAAACUACCAUCCUGGUACUUCUUUAAUGAUUGCAAUGCAAGGAGUUGGAAGGUGUUAAAUGAAGGAAGCUGAUGGGGAGAUGCAUUAGAAUACUUCAAAUCUCUUAACAAGAUUAGAUUUAGUUUCAUUUUGGAAGCAGGGCAAAAUGGACAAUAAAGGCACAAUAUUUUGAAACCCACACAAAUUAAUUCUAAAUUCUGACAAACAUUACAGCUUCUUGAAUUUCAAUCAGUUUAAAAAAAGGAAUAAUUUUUAAAAUUUUUUUCUCUCAUGUUUUUCCAUUAGUAUUGGUAAUGUCACAAAGAAGUUCUUUGCCUAAUUCCUCUGAAAAUAAAGAAUUGUUUUGGCAUCUUGCAAUUCUCUGGCUUGGCCAAGCAUUCUACAGGAAGGAGCAGGCUGGUCCACAGCACCCACACCUGUCAGCAGGGGUGGAGGUGGCUACUGUUCUAAGAAGCCGUUGUCUUCUGCUGCUGGGAGCUGAACACUUGGUUUCAGAGGUUUCACUGGGUAGAUUUCUGCUGGAGCCAAGGACAAGUGGAGACCUUCCCAGACAAGUGUAUAGUGACUGGGAUUUAUGUGGCAGGCAGGAAGAAUUUGGAAAAGGGCAUGGUGAUUUUGAGGAAACAGCUUGAGAGGAGGGGGACUACAGUGCUAGUGCAUAGAGCUUGGGGCAGACCUGAGAGGUAGAAGCCUGGUAGAUUAAGAGUGUGACUCCUGAUUUUGCAGGGAGAGAAAAAGAGGUGAAAGAGGAAGGCUUGGUUCUUGUGAGAAGCAAUUUUACAGCCUGCAAAUUGUAUGACCAACCUUCCUAGUGAACUGAGCUUGGUCUUUAGGUUGAUGACGGCCUAGCUGGAGACCCAUCUCUGUCUAUGAUGUCUGUCAUCAUAGACAGAGAGAGAUAGAGAGUACUGAAAAUUUAAUUAACAGUAAACAGUUAACGAGAUGUGUCAUUACAAACAGGUCAUUGUGGGGUUUUUUUUCUAAUUAAGCCUGAAAGUUUAUUCUUACAUUUCAAUUCUGGAUUUCCUAAUGUUACUGUAGGAUUACACCGGUAAUAGCUAUGUUGUCUUACCUAACCAUGUUUAGGGUAUUGGUAAUCAUAUUGGAAAUACAGAGUCCUGGAACCCGGUGUUGGAGAGAUUUGUAAUUAAAAUUAGAUUGUAAGAGCAGCACACUUACUCUAUGCAUCUGACUUCUGCAUAUUAGAAACUAAUGUUUAUUUCAAUGCCAAAGCCAUUUUUAAUGUGUUUUUAUAAGUGUUGUUGUGCAUACUAAGUAUCUUGCUUGUAGAUUCAGUGAUAGAAAUUUGAAGAUAAAAUCGUAUCGUAUAUUAACAUCUCAUCUGUCCUUUCACAUGUUGUUUUCCUAUGAUUAUAAGCACUUCUAUACAGGGGCUAUGGAUUGGAUUGCAUCCCAGGCUGUAGUUCUGCAUGAGGAUAACUAAGAUAGCUCUAAGGACUAUCAGCAGCAGUCUGGCAUGACACUCGGGAUGGUUAAAUCUCUGACAUACAAAGUAUAUCGGUUUUUACUGGAUCUUGUGACUAAGUAUGCUCUGAUUCUUGCUUACAGCUGGCUCAUGUGUCGCAUCAAUACACUGCCAUCUGUUUUGUAUGUCAGGCUAUUUGCUAUUUUUCUGUGUUUAUUCUGGACACUUGGACAGUUCUUUGAGAUCUAAUUGUAUCCUAGGCAGAUAUACACAAUAUUUGAUAUUUAUCUUGUGUAUCAUGACCAAAAAAAUUAAUUCAUGUUGCACUGUGAAAUUCUGGGAUUGUUCAAACUUAUAUAUGCCUCUGAAAAUGCUGGAAUUUAUAUUAAAAUUUUAUCACUGGAAUCUCUA